GUACUAGGAUUCAUGCUAGGAGGAGUAGAGACAUCAGAAGGACAGGUGUGGGUACUAGGAUUCAUGCUAGGGAGGAGUAGAGACAUCAGAAGGACAGGUGUGGGUACUAGGAUUCAUGCUAGGGAGGAGUAGAGACAUCAGAAGGACAGGUGUGGGUACUAGGAUUCAUGCUAGGAGGAGUAGAGACAUCAGAAGGACAGGUGUGGGUACUAGAAUUCAUGCUAGGAGGAGUAGAGACAUCAGAAGGACAGGUGUGGGUACUAGGAUUCAUGCUAGGAGGAGUAGAGACAUCAGAAGGACAGGUGUGGGUGCUAGGAUUCAUGCUAGGAGGAGUAAAGACAUCAGAGGAACAGGUGUGGGUACUAUCACCAUCUUCAGAUGAGGAACUGGAGACUCAGCAAUACCAGAAAAUGUGCCAAGUGGUCUUGAGUGUGUCCAAAGUGGUCAAUAAAAAUCGAAGACUCUGAGCUUAGACUUUUUAAGAAGCCAUGCCCAUCAUAAUCCAGUCUUCAGUCUACAUCCUCUCCAACUUAACUUUGCGGUAUUUCCCAGUGCAGACUCAUGGUUCCAGUAAGAUCACAUCUGCUCACAACCUUUCCCACAUACAAUCCUUAUCCUAGUGCGAUGUCCCUGACUA